rnacentral:rRNA from 1 species
AUGAAGGAAGAUGAAGAACCUCGUGAGCUUUAUCGGAGAGUCACCAAACUCGCGGUCUCACUACGAGAUCACGGGAGCAAGGACACGGAUGACAAUUGGAUCAAGCGCAAAUUCCUCAAGGCAAUGAUGCCCUACCACAAGGCCAUGUCCUCCGUCAUCCGCCAAAGACCGGACUUCCACACUUUGACCUCAAGCGAGGUAUUGGAUGAGUUUGUGGCCAUGAAUAUUUUGGACAAGACCGCCGACAAUGCGGUGCUCCGUUCUCAACGGGCAAAGAAGCCUAACCUUGCUUUGAAGGCCAAGCUCACCGUGAAAGAAGAAGAAGAGAAAGAGGAGGAGAGCAACCCCGAAGAUACAAAGUAUGCAUAUCAUGAACACAUGGCACUUGCUUCAAGGCAAUUUUGGAGCAAGAAAAACUCGAGGCCCAACUUUAGCAAAAACAACUCGAGUGGGACAAGGGGCAAGCAACGUGUAAGGACUUGCUACAAUUGCGGCAACGUGAGUCAUUUCGUUGCGGAAUGCCCGUAUGAGAAGAGGGAAGACAAUGGUGGCAAACUCAUCCGAAAGGACAAGGCCAAGUCGUUCCCCAACAAGAACAACUUCACCAAGAAGACUCCUCCCAAGGCCUUGGUUGUGCAAGAAGAGUACAAUGAGGAUGAUGACGAUGAUGAAGAUGAUGAGUCGGUUGCCAUGGCCUCCGUCGCCAUUGCAACAACGUCACGAGUGUCUCUCUUCGACUCACCCAAUGAGAGCAUCAACGCCAAGUGCCUCAUGGCUAAAGCCACCAACAAGGUAACCUCCAACAUCAAAACUACCAUCAUUAAUCAUCCUUCCCCAUCGGAUAGCAUUAAUGAAGUUGAGGAAGCUAAUAUGGAGGCUAACGAGUUUGAGGCCUUUAUGGGCAAACUCAAGGGAAAAUCCAAGAAGCACUUUGUUGCUCUCUUGGAACAACUUGGUGAGGCCAAUGACAUGAUCGAGGCUCAUGAAGACACCAUCUCGAAGAUGAAAGGGCAUAAUCGUGACUAUGCCGAUGAGAUUUCGGAUCUUUCCAAUGCUCUUGAGGAAGAGCGUGGUCUUCGUUUGGCUCUUGAGGAGUCACACAACGUUGAUCAUGCUAAGUUAGAGAAAGAUUAUGAUCAUGCCCUCGUUGUCUCUCGUGUGCUAAAUUUCGAGAAGGCCAAACUUGGGGUUGAUCUUGCUAGACUUAAGGAGGAGUUUGAAAUACUUGACAAGGCCCACAAGGCCUUAAAGGGUACUCACGCUAGUCUCAAGGAGUCUCAUGAUCAACUCCAAGUGAAGCUAACUAUGAAAAAAGCAACUUUUCUCAUAUGGUUUUGGUUGAUAAUGCAAAUACUACUAACCCGUGUUGUGAGCAUAUGCAUCUUGUUGAAGAAAAUGCUAGGUUGA